rnacentral:rRNA from 1 species
UACGAAGGGGGCUAGCGUUGUUCGUAAUUACUGGGCGUAAAGCGCACGUAGGCGGAUCGAUCAGUCAGGGGUGAAAUCCCAGGGCUCAACCCUGGAACUGCCUUUGAUACUGUCGAUCUGGAGUAUGGAAGAGGUGAGUGGAAUUCCGAGUGUAGAGGUGAAAUUCGUAGAUAUUCGGAGGAACACCAGUGGCGAAGGCGGCUCACUGGUCCAUUACUGACGCUGAGGUGCGAAAGCGUGGGGAGCAAACAGG